GCUGGGUGAGGUGCUGCACACCUGUAAUCCCAGUGGCUCGGGAGGCUGAGGCAGGAAGAUGGCAAGUUUGAAGCCAGCCUCAGCAAAAGCGAGGUGCUAAGCAACUCAGUGAGAUCUUGUCUCUA
rnacentral:sRNA from 1 species